ACCUCAUGAUUUGGGCAUUGUAAUAACUUAUCAUUGAAAUAUUGCCAAACUUCAAACAAUGGUUCUCCAUUAAGUUGGCGAAAGAUGGUGAUUUAGUCCCUUAGUU
rfam:Capsicum annuum cultivar Zunla-1 chromosome 3, whole genome shotgun sequence